rnacentral:rRNA from 1 species
AUUGAACGCUGGCGGCAGGCUUAACACAUGCAAGUCGAGCGGGGUGAUGGUGCUUGCACUAUCACUUAGCGGCGGACGGGUGAGUAAUGCUUAGGAAUCUGCCUAUUAGUGGGGGACAACAUCUCGAAAGGGAUGCUAAUACCGCAUACGUCCUACGGGAGAAAGCAGGGGAUCACUUGUGACCUUGCGCUAAUAGAUGAGCAUAAGUCGGAUUAGCUAGUUGGUGGGGUAAAGGCCUACCAAGGCGACGAUCUGUAGCGGGUCUGAGAGGAUGAUCCGCCACACUGGGAUUGAGACACGGCCCAGACUCCUACGGGAGGCAGCAGUGGGGAAUAUUGGACAAUGGGGGGAACCCUGAUCCAGCCAUGCCGCGUGUGUGAAGAAGGCCUUAUGGUUGUAAAGCACUUUAAGCGAGGAGGAGGCUCUUUUGGUUAAUACCCAAGAUGAGUGGACGUUACUCGCAGAAUAAGCACCGGCUAACUCUGUGCCAGCAGCCGCCGUAA